UACGGAGGGGGCUAGCGUUGUUCGGAAUUACUGGGCGUAAAGCGCGCGUAGGCGGACCUGCAAGUCGGGGGUGAAAGCCCGAGGCUCAACCUCGGAACUGCCUUCGAUACUGCGGGUCUCGAGUCCGGGAGAGGUGAGUGGAAUUCACGGUGUAGCAGUGAAAUGCGUAGAUAUCUGGAGGAACACCGGUGGCGAAGGCGGCAUCCUGGACCAAUAUUGACGCUGAGGAGCGAAAGCCAGGGGAGCAAACGGG
rnacentral:rRNA from 1 species